UCGGUAUUGCCAAAUGUUCGGUUGGCAUGGUAUGGCAAUGGUAAUAGCCACUUUGUUUUGGGAUAAAAUUUGUUUUGGCUUUUUUAACCCAAUUCAAGGGAAAAACUUUUUUAUUGUACCUUUAUCUCAUACUUUGUAGCCUAAAUUCAUCUAUUAUUCAUCAUUCACAAUUCACACACACAAUAAUUCAAAUGAUGCAUCAAGAUUCAUGAUGAAAAUUAAGCUUACAAUCCAAAUAGAAGCUACGAACCAAAACAAAUAGAAGUUUCCCCCAUGCUAAAGAUCUUCUCUAUCCCCCAUUGGUUCAAACACACUUCUAGAACUUUCCCAAUGUCUUCUCUCUUAUGACCCGUG
rnacentral:lncRNA from 1 species